GAAAGAGAGAAGAGGGAUGAAACACGUGUGAUAUUGGAGGCAAAGAAAAGGGAAGGGUGGAGAGUGAGAGAGUAGAGGGAGAGAGAGAAGUGAGCGAAAGGAAACAUAGACGCAGAGAGCAAAAGGAGUAAAGGGAUCACAAAGGGAAAGAAAAAUAACGAAAGAUAAAGAAAAGAAGAAUAAAUAGGAAGAGAAAAAAGAAGAAUGUGAAAGAAAAUGGGAAUAUGGAAACGCAACAAGAAGAGAUAAAAAUUAGGAAAGUUCACGUAAAGAAUAAAGAAAAAUGAAAGAAAGGAAAAAGGAGCCAAAGAGGGAUGGAAGAAAGGCCAAAAAGCGUGCCAGAAAAAACGAGAAUAUAAAAAGAUGGAAAGAAAUAAAGAAAUGGUUCACAUGGAAAAUAGAAAAAAAAAGAAAAAAGAAGAAAAAAGUGGAACGGAAAACUGAUUAAGAUAGGACAGAGUGAGUGAGAGAGUGAGUGAGAGAGAAAGUUGGAGAGAGAGAAAACAAGGUAGAAAGGUAGAUGAAUGGAAGAGACAGGGAAAGAUGAAGGAGUGAGAAGGAACAAAGAUUAGAGAAGAGAAAGAAAAGAGAAAGGGAGAGAAGAGGGAAAGGGAGACGGGAGGUGAGAUUAAGGGAGUAACGAGGAGGAAGGGAGUGUUAGGAGGGACAGGAAGUGAUGGAAAGGGAGGACUGCAGAAAAAGAAGAGGAGGUAGAGAGGAGGAAACAGGGAGAGGUGGAGGGUCAAAUGAACAGAGGAAAGUGAUUAAGAGGAGGAGGGGAGGGGAGAGGUAGGCAGUGUGGAGGAAAUGAGAAUGGAGGAUGAGAAGAGAGAGAGGGGCAAAGGGGGAGGAGGAGAAGGGGGUAGAGAGAGGGCGGAAAAGUGGUACAAGAGGGAAGAGGGAGGAUUAGAGAAGCAGAAAGGAGGUAAAAGAAGAGAGAGGAAGAGAAGGUAAAAGAUAGAAAAGGAAGAGAUAGAAGAUAGCGAGAGGAACAGGGAAAUUAGGGUAUGGGAAGGAUAGAGAAGGCAUAGAAAGAAAUGAAAGCGAGGAAAGAAAAGGGAGACUAAAGAAACGAAGAGAAAGGGAAGUAGAAAGAAUAAGAGAGAACCAGGAAAAGGAAAGAACAGAAAAAUUAGAAUAUUGUGGGGACAGGGAGGAGAUAGUGGAGAGCUUAGAAAAGUGGAGGAAGCGUAGAAGGGGAGAAAGUGGAACAAGAAGGAAAGGGACAGAGAGACAGAAAGCCGUGGAAGGGAGGGGCAGAGGAGGCAUAGAAAGAGGGAUAAAAAGGCACAAGAAAAAAGGGAGAGAAAGACCAGAGAAACAGAGAAGAAGUGAAAGGGGAGAAGGGAGAGGUAGAGCCAGGGAAGGGAGAGCAAGGGAAGGGAGGGGCAGGGAAAUGAGGUAGGCGAGGGGGUAGGAGGGAGAGGAUCGAGGGGCUAGACUCACGGAAGGGGAGGUGGAAGGGGGUUGAAUACGCUUGCUGUUUGACAUAAUACCCGCCCUGCUGGCCGCCGCAUUGCAGGUGGACUUGACUCCCGUCCCAUCAAAGGUUUCCGCAACACGCAACCGUUUCGCUCAAGAUAUUUAAACCGCGUACCCCGCCGCUCCUGUUGACGGUGCGGCGAUGCGGAUAGAACAAGGCCAAGGAGGAGGAGGAAAAGGAGGAAGAAGAAUGGGAAGUAGUUGAAGGAAACGAAGAUAUGAAGGAGAGGUAAGCCAUAUCGUAGUUCAGUGUAUAAGAAAGAAGAUUGAUAGAGGAGGAGGAGGAGGAAAGAAAAACAGGAAGGAGUAGAGGGAAACGAAGGAAUGAAAUAGGGGUAAGCCAUAUGCAUGUACGAGAAAGAAAGCAUGAAGGAGGACGAGGAGGGAGUAGAAGAGGAAGGAGUAGAAGGAAACGAAGAUAUGAAGGAAAGGUAAGCCAUGCCGUGGUUGCGUAUAUAAAAGAGAAGUCUGAUGAAGGAGGAAGGGAAGGAAGAAGAGAAUGGGAAGAAGUAGAACAAAAUGAAGAUCUGAAGGAGAAAUAGGCCAUAUCGUUGUUGCAAUAAGAAACCUAAUAAAUGAGGAAUGAAAAGAAGAAAGUGCGAUCAAAUAAAAUUACAUAAAUACGUUUCAUGCAAGAAGAGAAGAAACUAAAGAAGAAAGAGGAGAACAAAAGGCAGAUAUAGAGGAAAAGUAGGCCAUUGGGUAGUAAAAUAUAUCAUAAGAAAGACUGAUAAAGGAAUAUGAGACAAAGAUAACCUACAUGCAAGUUCAGGAAGGCAGAGAAAGGACGAAACACAUAAAAUAAAAGGAAUAGAUAAAGGAAAGUGGGCUGUACCGUGGGAGGUAAAAGAAGGAAGACUGAUAAAAGAAGAAUUGGACGAAGAUAAGAGUCAUGCGAGGCGAGAAAAGAAGAAUGAGGAAGAAGAAAAGGAAGGAGAAGAAAAGAGAAACGGAGCUGAUACGAUAUUAAAACGAUACAAAGAAGAUAGACUUUCACGAGAUGACAAAAGAAGGAUAAAAAAGGAGAAAUGGAGAAAGAAAACAGAAGAAAAAGAGCAAGAAGAAACACAACGGACGUAUAAUAAGAUGUUGAAAAGGAAAACGAUAUAGAGAAAAGAAUUGUAUAGUUGAGAGAAAGGAGAAAAAAGAAAAAAGAAGAAAAAGAAAAAAGCAGUCCAACGAAGGCAAAACAUAAUAAAAAGGCGAUGUAAAGAGAAUAAUAAAAUAGUUGUUGAGGAUGAUAGCAUGAAAGAGGAGAAGGAGAUGGACGCGAAAGAUCAGCAAGCAAGUGAAGGAGGAGGAGGAGGAGAAGGAGGUCGUUGUGAUACUUUAAGAGCCCCGAGAAGCCAUGUCAGUUAAAGGGAUGGAACACGAUUUUCCAGACAGGCAGCGAAAGAGAAGCAGGAAGGAUAACAGGUGAGGAUAAAAAAACGAAGGGAGAGCAGGUGGAAAUUGAAAAAGGAAGGAAAUGAAGAUGAAGAUUGAAAAACGAAGGGAAUGGAAGUGGAAACAGAAAAAUUACGGAAAACGGGUGGAAUAAAAAAGAAAGAAAGGAGAGCAAGUGGAUAUUGAAAAGAGGGAAAAUAAGGUGAAUAUUGAAAAAGGAGGAGGAGGAGGAGAAGGUGCAAAUUGAGAGAGGAAAGCAAGUGGAAACAGAAAAAUUAAGAUGAUGGAAAUAGAAAAACAAAGGAAGAGAAGGUCCAUAUUGAAGAGAAGGGAAAGCAAGUGGAAAUUAAAAACAAAAUAAGGGAAUAAAGAUGAAAAUUGAAAAAAGGAAAAGAAGGUGCAAUGUGAAAAAGAAGGAGGAAGGAGGGAAAGAUUGAAAAAGAAGGAAGGAAGGUGGAAACGGAGAAAAAGGGAAGGAAGAUGAAAAGAAAAAGAAGGGAAAGCAGGUAGGUAGAAAGUGUAAGAAGAAAAUAUAAUCAGGUGGAAAAUUGAACAUAAAGUAAAGGCAAAUGCGAAAGGAAGAAGUAAAGGAAAAAUGCAGGUGAUGAAAUAAUAAAAAAAAUCGUAUAAAGGAAAAAUAAUGAAAAGUUAGAAAAUAUACAAAAACGAUGAUGAGAAAAUGCUAUCAGGGGAAAAGAUAAAAAAAGAAAUAAGAAAUCUGAUGAAGUGUAUGAAAAAAGAAAGAUAUAAUGCAAAACUUGAUGAAUAUUCAAUGAGAAGAAAUUAUGCAGUAGGAUGAUAUGAAA